rnacentral:rRNA from 1 species
GCAUAUCAAUAAGCGGAGGAAAAGAAAACAACUGUGAUUCCCUUAGUAAUGGCGAAUGAAACGGGAAGAGCCCAUCGCGUAACUGCAGGUCAGCUUGGCCUCGCGGAAUGUCGCGUUCGGGAGAGUCUCAUCGGGAGCCGGACGGCCAGUCAAAGUCCAACUUGACAGUCGCCAUUGCCCAUAGAGGGUGAUAGGCCCGUAAGGCGGCCGUCUGUUUCCGCUGACUUUUCCCUAGAGUCGGGUUGCUUGGGAGUGCAGCCCAAAGUGCGAGGUAAACUCCUCGUAAGGCUAAAUAUGACCCAGAGACCGAUAGCAAACAAGUACCGUGAGGGAAGAUUGAAAAGAACUUUGAAGAGAGAGUUCAAUAGUACGUGAAACUGUGUGGUGGUAAACGGAGGGGUUCUCGAAGUCUCUGUGGGGAACUCAACCUUGGUGUCGGGCAGUCRGGGUGUAUCCGAUCAGCAAUGACGGUGCGCUUUGUCUGGCUUGGCUCUCGGGUGCAUUUCCCCCGCAGUUUACGGCAGGAACCGUUUGGCUCGGACCAAAGGCCUCGGGUGAAGUUGUCGCUUAUGGUGGCAGCCCUGGGUGUCCUGGCUCUGCKCUCGACGGGUACGUGAGAGGACUCGUAUAGCGAGCAACGCUCUGUUGCGGUUCUCAUCUCUCUGCUGAGUAGGUCGGUGGCCGCUCCUACCCGUCUUGAAACACUGACC